AAGAAAAUGUAGCCAUUGGUGCCAUCUAUCGACCACAGGUUAAAGAUUGGCGAUUCGUUGGAUACCGACCGAGUUAUAGGCAAAAGUUGGUGCAAAAAUGAGGAAAAUUUUCAUUUUUUUGUUGAUUUUUUUGAUUUUUUUAUUAUUUUUCACUCUUUUUUUAUUUCAAGCAUUAUUAGAGUGAAAAAAAAACUCAUUGCAACCCAUUGGCAUUAAAAUAAAACAAUUUAAUUUUUUUUGCAAAAUUUCCCAAAAAAAUCGUAAGGGGUAAGCCUUAUGAAAUUUUCGAGUGAAAAAUUUUUUUGAAAUUUUUUUCUGAUUUUUUAUUUUUUUUUUAAUUUAAAGCACUAUUUAAGUGAAAAGAAACUCAUUGCAACAAAUUCCCAUCAAAAUAUAUCACAUUUAAAAUUUUUGCUACAUUGCUCAAAAAUGAGGAAAAUUUUACAUUUUCUCAAACAGGGUAAGGAACUUGGUUCCUCGACUAACUUCUGGCACAGACAUCUGAGGGCAUGGCUGUCCAAGAAGAAAAUGUAGCCAUUGGUGCCAUCAAUCGACCACUGGUUAAAGUGUGGCGAUCCGUUGGAUACCGACCGAGUUAUAGGCAAAAGUUGGUGCAGAAAUGAGGAAAAUUUUACAUUUUCUCAAACAGGGUAUGGAACUUGGUUCUUCGAAUAACUUCUGGCACAGACAUCUGAGGGCAUGGCCGUCCAAGAAGAAAAUGUAGCCAUUGGUGCCAUCUAUCGACCACAGGUUAAAGAUUGGCGAUUCGUUGGAUACCGACCGAGUUAUAGGCAAAAGUUGGUGCAAAAAUGAGGAAAAUUUUCAUUUUUUUGUUGAUUUUUUUUAUUUUUUUAUUAUUUUUCACUCUUUUUUUAUUUCAAGCAUUAUUAGAGUGAAAAAAAACUCAUUGCAACCCAUUGGCAUUAAAAUAAAACAAUUUAAUUUUUUUUGCAAAAUUUCCCAAAAAAAUCGUAAGGGGUAAGCCUUAUGAAAUUUUCGAGUGAAAAAUUUUUUUGAAAUUUUUUUCUGAUUUUUUAUUUUUUUUUUAAUUUAAAGCACUAUUUAAGUGAAAAGAAACUCAUUGCAACAAAUUCCCAUCAAAAUAUAUCACAUUUAAAAUUUUUGCUACAUUGCUCAAAAAUGAGGAAAAUUUUACAUUUUCUCAAACAGGGUAAGGAACUUGGUUCCUCGACUAACUUCUGGCACAGACAUCUGAGGGCAUGGCUGUCCAAGAAGAAAAUGUAGCCAUUGGUGCCAUCUAUCGACCACUGGUUAAAGUGUGGCGAUCCGUUGGAUACCGACCGAGUUAUAGGCAAAAGUUGGUGCAGAAAUGAGGAAAAUUUUACAUUUUCUCAAACAGGGUAUGGAACUUGGUUCUUCGAAUAACUUCUGGCACAGACAUCUGAGGGCAUGGCCGUCCAAGAAGAAAAUGUAGCCAUUGGUGCCAUCUAUCGACCACAGGUUAAAGAUUGACGAUCCGUUGGAUACCGACCGAGUUAUAGGCAAAAGUUGGUGCAAAAAUGAGGAAAAUUUUCAUUUUUUUGUAAAUUUUUUUGAUUUUUUUAUUAUUUUUCACUCUUUUUUUUAUUUCAAGCAUUAUUAGAGUGAAAAGAAACUCAUUGCAACCCAUUGGCAUUGAAAUAAAACAAUUUAAUUUUUUUUGCAAAAUUUCCCAAAAAAAUCGUAAGGGGUAAGCCUUAUGAAAUUUACAAGUGAAAAAUUUUUUUGAAAUUUUUUUCUGAUUUUUUAUUCUUUUUUUAAUUUAAAGCACUAUUUAAGUGAAAAGAAACUUAUUGCAACAAAUUCCCAUCAAAAUAUAUCACAUUUAAAAUUUUUGCUACAUUGCUCAAAAAUGAGGAAAAUUUUACAUUUUCUCAAACAGGGUAAGGAACUUGGUUCCUCGACUAACUUCUGGCACAGACAUCUGAGGGCAUGGCUGUCCAAGAAGAAAAUGUAGCCAUUGGUGCCAUCUAUCGACCACAGGUUAAAGAUUGGCGAUCCGUUGGAUACCGUCCGAGUUAUAGGCAAAAUUUGGUGCAAAAAUGAGGAAAAUUUUCAUUUUUUUGUAAAUUUUUUUGAUUUUUUUAUUAUUUUUCACUCUUUUUUUUAUUUCAAGCAUUAUUAGAGUGAAAAGAAACUCAUUGCAACCCAUUGGCAUUAAAAUAAGACAAUUUAAUUUUUUUUGCAAAAUUUCCCAAAAAAAUCGUAAGGGGUAAGCCUUAUGAAAUUUACAAGUGAAAAAUUUUUUUGAAAUUUUUUUCUGAUUUUUUAUUCUUUUUUUCAUUUAAAGCACUAUUUAAGUGAAAAGAAACUUAUUGCAACAAAUUCCCAUCAAAAUAUAUCACAUUUCAAAUUUUUGCUACAUUGCUCAAAAAUGAGGAAAAUUUUACAUUUUCUCAAACAGGGUAAGGAACUUGGUUCCUCGACUAACUUCUGGCACAGACAUCUGAGGGCAUGGCUGUCCAAGAAGAAAAUGUAGCCAUUGGUGCCAUCUAUCGACCACAGGUUAAAGAUUGGCGAUCCGUUGGAUACCGACCGAGUUAUAGGCAAAAUUUGGUGCAAAAAUGAGGAAAAUUUUCAUUUUUUUGUUGAUUUUUUU